GGAAAUUCUUUGUAAGGCUUUGCAAAACGUACUUCUGCCGUACGUUCACGGCGUGUGACGUAGCUUUUUUAUAUAUUUUUUUGGUCAACCUUUACUUUCUCCGGCAGCUGCCGUUGCUGGCAUUCCAAAACUAAUAUCCUCUCUCUAUUCUUCAGAGGCAGUCUCCACCAACACAGCCGCCAGCAUCAAACCAAGUCUGAAGCGUGAGUCACGUAUUGACCUCGUAGCAGCUAUAGGAAGAGCGAGGGCUUCGAGUUUCUGACUCCAAUUUCUCCAACAAAUAAAAAUGCCGCCUUUGAAAUUUAUCUUUUAAUUUUUAAUCGGCGGAUGAGUUAGGUUGAAAAGACUUGUUAAGAGGCUUGAGAUCAGAUUCCAAUGUUCCAACCUUCACUGUUGACUAAACAAAUUCAA
rnacentral:misc_RNA from 1 species